CUUAUGAUACCUGCCUUGAGCUC
rnacentral:piRNA from 1 species